UGGGGAAUUUUGGACAAUGGGCGAAAGCCUGAUCCAGCAAUGCCGCGUGUGUGAAGAAGGCCUUCGGGUUGUAAAGCACUUUUGUCCGGAAAGAAAUCCUUGGCUCUAAUACAGUCGGGGGAUGACGGUACCGGAAGAAUAAGCACCGGCUAACUACGUGCCAGCAGCCGCGGUAAUACGUAGGGUGCAAGCGUUAAUCGGAAUUACUGGGCGUAAAGCGUGCGCAGGCGGUUUGCUAAGACCGAUGUGAAAUCCCCGGGCUCAACCUGGGAACUGCAUUGGUGACUGGCAGGCUAGAGUAUGGCAGAGGGGGGUAGAAUUCCACGUGUAGCAGUGAAAUGCGUAGAGAUGUGGAGGAAUACCGAUGGCGAAGGCAGCCCCCUGGGCCAAUACUGACGCUCAUGCACGAAAGCGUGGGGAGCAAACAGGAUUAGAUACCCUGGUAGUCCACGCCCUAAACGAUGUCAACUAGUUGUUGGGGAUUCAUUUCCUUAGUAACGUAGCUAACGCGUGAAGUUGACCGCCUGGGGGAGUACGGUCGCAAGAUUAAAACUCAAAUG
rnacentral:rRNA from 1 species